GACGAACGCUGGCGGCGUGCCUAAUACAUGCAAGUAGGACGCAGUUGCGAACGGGUGAGUAACGCGUAGGUAAAUGCCUAGUAGAGGGGGAUAACUAAUGGAAACGAUAGCUAAUACCGCAUACUAGUAGAUGGACCUGCGUUGUAUUAGCUAGUAGGUAGGGUAAUGGCCUACCUAGGGGGCGAUACAUAGCCGCCCUGGGAGGGUUGUCGGCCACACUGGGACUGAUACACGGCCCAGACUCCUACGGGAGGCAGCAGGAGGGAAUCUUCGGCCAUGGGGGGAACCCUUACCGAGCAACGCCGCGUGAGUGAAGAAGGUUUUCGGAUCGUAAAGCUCUGUUGUUAAGGAAGCGGUACUUAACCAGAAAGGGACGGCUAACUACGUGCCAGCCGCCGCGGUAAUUC
rnacentral:rRNA from 1 species